AGGGACACUGUAGAAUUAGGAAUACAGAUCUGAUAUUCCUGAUGCUACCGUCUUAAUGUCCUUACUUAGUUUCAAAACUAUUCUUGUAAAAACAAAAAAAUAGAUUACCUUCUGUCUGACGGCAAGUCUACUUUGGCGCUGCCACGGCCUACUCCUGGUCUGUCAUGCUGGAGGCAUGCCUCCAGGUUGAUGGUCGAAUCCAAUGAAGGGACAUGCCUGGCACGCUUCAAUGUGUCUGUAAUUCUGUUAUAGAGAAUCAUUGAAUACAAUGAUUUCCUAUGGCAGACCAUAAUGCCACUGCGCAUGACAUCAUGGUAUGCUAGAGUAGGAGAGGCCGGAAGAUGCUGCCAUGAAUAACAGCCUGGAAAAUAAAAUUACGGUAAGUAUGGUUUAAAUUUUUCACUCAGAUCCAAGUGUUUAAUAUAUUACCUUCAAAAUAUUAGGGGAAACAAUAUUUAAAACAAAGAGUCAGCUUCACAUUAGUAUAUCUGCGCACAACCAGCUUCACGCUAGUAUAUCUGCACACAGCAAGUUUCACAUUACUGUACCUGCACAUAGCUGUGAGUCGGCUUCCUCACGGGAACAAAAAGAAAUCAAGAACAGUCCAAGUUGUGUAUGCAGCAAG